GAUUCCUGUUUCUCAGCUGAGCUUAUCUGGAAAGGUGUUAAAAGUUCCUCAAAAAGAAUUAAUGGGAACAUGGAAAAAAAAGUGGAAGGAGGAAAUCUGGGGUAUAAUGGAGGACCUUAAAGGCAAAAGCAUAGGAUGAGUUCAAGGGGUUUCCCAAAUACAUCUGAAACUUCCAACAUGAAAAUUUAUUCUCAAGGAGAAUUUGCAAGAAGAGCCUCAGUGCCAGAGUGUAAAAAUACAAGAUCAUGGACUUUCAUACUGGCUAUGCCAAGAAUCCACAGUGUGAGACAAAAGUCGUUAUACCCCUUGGUGCCUCUGUUACUUCACCAGCAAGAGAGUAGUAAGUGAUUUUCCUGAAACAGCUAAUAAAAAUUGUAGUGAAGUAGCAUGAA